GCAGUUUGCUGGUCUGUCGCUCAUUUAUAAAAUGGGAGGAACGUCCGGGCAACACAGAGCACCAUACUUCUUAAUGGGAAGCUGUCCGUGAGGGUAGAGUAACGUAACAGAGAAUAACCGCCGUUUAUUCGGUAAGGGUGAAAAGGUGAGGUAAGAGCUUACCGGGUCUUAUAGUAAUAUAGGAUGCCGUACGUCUUAUGGGUUGUAAGGUCAUGUAUACCGGCGCAGUAGGAUUGCUCGUCCGAUGCCGGGGGGUAGACCGCUAAAGCUUACUGGUGACAGUAAGACGAGAUAAAUGGCAGACGCUUUUGUGUAAACAGAAGUACAGAACCCGGCUUAUAGGCAGACUGCUUUU
rnacentral:RNase_P_RNA from 1 species